CACAUUGGUUACUUGUCAUUUCGAACAAAGUAGGCUUUUGCUUGCUCCGCACUUGAAAUUUGCCGUGGUUCAUGGUCAGAGGUAGAAACGCAAUUAUUUCAAUAACGCUCGAUUUUAUCGUUGACUUGCUAAACCACAAUGCGAUAGCAUGCGCCAUAUGAUAAGGGUUAGAAGUUUUUCAUUUACAAGUCCACUUGUCGAGCUAGCUAUUAGCCAUUGGCUAACCAACUUCUGCUUUUGCUGGCUCAUGUGCCGACAGUGUGGUGUUUAAGUAGGCUGUCUUCGUCAACUUACCCGAGGACACUAAGGCAUAUACAAACUCAGGUCCAAUGUCCACUUAAGGUACUAUCAGGUAGGAUAUGGGUUUUUACAUCUGGUAGAUUUCUGUCACUGUCUCGACAUUCUCCGAGGUGACUGGAAGAGAAGGUUAACUUAGCUAGCUAGACUACAUAGCUCGCUAAUGAAUUGCACUAACCUCCAACAAUUAACGUGAAGCCUUUACAGUGAACCUCCGGGAAAUGUAAUGCACUACUACUGGAACUAGAUAUUGCCUACCUAAAUAACGUUUACGUUUACAUUUGACGUGACUGACCAUAUUGUGGUCUGCUUCUUUUGACAGCUGAGUUAGCUUGUUCUACAGGAGUUUAAGGUAGCCUAUCCCACAUUCACUGUAAAUUCACUCUGACAACAUGAGCGGAGGCAAAGAAUUGUCUGCUGGCGACAUCAGUGACAAACAAUAUUUUGAAGUAGCUAAAGAUUCGGAGAAAGACCCGCAGAUUAAUUUCAUAGGUGGGCCACUGCCUUUAAAUGACAUUGAUGUAAGCGCUGACAAGAGGCAGCCAGUCACACGUUUGUACAAGAAACGUUGGCUUAUAGUGCUUUUAUUUAGCUCUUAUUCUCUCUGCAACUCGUACCAAUGGAUUCAGUACGGAAUUAUCAACAAUAUCUUCAUGAAGUUCUAUGGAGUCGAUACAUUCACCAUAGACUGGAUGUCUAUGAUAUUCAUGCUGACUUACAUACCCUUUAUAUUCCCGGUUACCUGGCUACUCGACAAAAAGGGACUGAGGGUUAUUGCGCUGAUAGCCACGGCUAUGAACUGCGUCGGGACAUGGAUCAAGGUGGCUAGCGCACGACCAGACCUGUUCGCGGUGACCUUUUUGGGUCAGUUCUGCUCAUCAUUUGCUCAAGUGUUCAUUUUAGGAAUGCCUUCGCGAAUAGCAUCGGUGUGGUUCAGCUCAGAGGAGGUUUCAACGGCGUGCUCAAUUGGAGUCUUCGGAAACCAGCUUGGCAUUGCCAUUGGCUUCCUAGUUCCCCCUAUCCUGGUGCCAAAUGUGGACGACAUGGACGAGUUGGCACACCACAUUCGUGUGAUGUUCUACAUAACCGCUGGUGUGGCUACUCUGCUCUUUGUCCUGGUGGUCAUUGUCUUCCAGGAGCAGCCUGAGAUUCCACCAACCCAGUCUCAGGUCACAGCCAGAAGCAUUCCCCCCGAGGACUACUCCUACAUGGCCUCCAUCAAGAGACUCCUCAGCAACAAGCCCUUCAUCCUCCUUAUCAUCAGCUAUGGCCUCAAUGUGGGCUGCUUCUAUGCCGUCGGCACACUGCUCAACCGCAUGAUUAUUGAGUACUAUCCAGGUGAAGAGGUCAAUGCUGGCAGAAUUGGGCUUACCAUUGUUAUCGCUGGAAUGGUUGGCUCCUUGAUCUGUGGAAUCUGGCUUGAUCGGACCAAAACCUACAAGCAGACCACUUUGGUUGUGUACGUGAUGUCCUUCCUCGGGAUGAUUGUGUUCGCUUUCACGCUCGACUUAGGGUACUUGUGGGUUGUCUUCAUCACUGCUGGAGCAUUAGGGUUUUUCAUGACCGGCUACCUACCUCUUGGCUUUGAGUUUGCUGUGGAACUCACCUAUCCAGAGUCGGAGGGCACAUCGUCAGGGCUACUCAACUGCUCUGCUCAGGUUUUUGGCAUCAUCUUCAUCAUCUGCGAGGGAAAGAUCAUCGAUUCCUACGGCAUUCUGCCCGGCAACAUUUUCCUCUGUGUUUUCUUGCUCAUCGGCACAAUCAUGACUGGCAUUAUCAAGUCAGACCUGCGGAGACAGAAGGCAAAUGCGUUGGCCAAGGAAGCUAGCGAACUCAAAAAGCCCCCACACGUGGACGUGACCCUCGUUUUGGAUCCUCAGUACCAUCAAAAACCUCUGGUGACAUUGACUGGGUACACACACACACACACACACACACCCGAGCCCAGAGAACCUUAUAUGAUAAAGACCCGUGAUCAGUGCUUGUCUUGAGGGGAUGGGCAGGUGGGCAGGACUGUCAGUGACUGACUGAAAAUCUCAAUUCUGGUCAAAUGAGAGCUACUUCACAGAACAUAAAUGUCACGCCUUUAGGGAAAAGGUAAAAAAAAAAAAAAAAUUAAUAAUAAUGGUCUUAUCUUGAUCUUACACUCCCUUAAAAAUAUCUGCGUAGAGAGAGUGUUGCACACAUACUGUGCAGUGAUGGUGGAUGUGUUACCCAUGUGCUAAACAAUGUCACCAGACGGUGUGAGAAUGCUUCUGAUGGUAUGAGGUGUCUGUGUACCCUUCCUACCCUACCCACAUUCAUUGUGAACCACCUGCUGUUGUUGCAUCAUCCAACCCCACCCCUCUACCUCCCACCUCCUUUGCCAGGCGGCGAAGGAACGUCUCGAGGGGCCAGACUACGGCGCCACGGCUCUGAUCACUCCUCCACAGCUAUGAUCAUUUAAGCCCCUCCCCCCCCCUCCCAUUUCCCCCACUUGAACCCCCUGUCCCUCAAAUCUACACAUCCACACCGCCAUACCCAAGGCAAACCAGAACGGAACACUUCCGUCGUCUACCAUUGUGACUGAAGCCAGACUGUAGAGAGGAUGUGGGUGACUCCUUCUGUUGUACUGAGGGAAAACCACAUGUGUGCACAACAAGAUUUUUAAAGGGGUGGUUCAGGAUUUUGGACAUAAGACCUUUAUUUCCAAGUAAGCAAGUG